rnacentral:rRNA from 1 species
GAUGAACGCUGGCGGCGUGCCUAAUACAUGCAAGUCGAGCGAACGGACGAGAAGCUUGCUUCUCUGAUGUUAGCGGCGGACGGGUGAGUAACACGUGGAUAACCUACCUAUAAGACUGGGAUAACUUCGGGAAACCGGAGCUACUACCGGAUGAUAUUUUGAACCGCAUGGUUCAAAAGUGAAAGACGGUCUUGCUGUCACUUAUAGAUGGAUCCGCGCUGCAUUAGCUAGUUGGUAAGGUAACGGCUUACCAAGGCAACGAUGCAUAGCCGACCUGAGAGGGUGAUCGGCCACACUGGAACUGAGACACGGUCCAGACUCCUACGGGAGGCAGCAGUAGGGAAUCUUCCGCAAUGGGCGAAAGCCUGACGGAGCAACGCCGCGUGAGUGAUGAAGGUCUUCGGAUCGUAAAACUCUUUUAUUAGGGAAGAACAUAUGUGUAAGUAACUGUGCACAUCUUGACGGUACCUAAUCAGAAAGCCACGGCUAACUACGUG